rnacentral:lncRNA from 1 species
CUUUCGGGGUCGAUUAAAUAAGGAUCAGUUACGCACUGGGGUCGAUAUAAUCGACUUAAUCCGUUUGUCUGUCCUUGUUUGUCCUCUCUGUGUUUAGCCCCUUGUGAGUGGUAAAGAAAUAGGCAUUCACUCGAGCUAAGACCACCAUUCUUACCUCUCUCUCUCCCUCCCUCUCUGAGGAACUUGAAAAAGUCGAUGAAGGGGCUGGUUGAAACGGAAAAUAACCCUUAGUCCUUCCGCUGCGUUUAUUAACCAAUGUAUUUCGCCAGAGUCACGUUCCAGUUUGUGUGCAUGAACAGCGUACAGAAUAUUAUUUAAUAUGUAAGUGACUUUGAAGGCAGUAAGCUUGAAGAAUCGUAGAAUGCUUAGCGGCAUUUCGCCCGUUUUUACGUUCUAGGCUCAAAUUCCACUGAGGUCGACUUUACAUUUUAUCCCUUUGGGGUCGAUAAAAUAAGUACCAGAUGAGUACUAGGGUCAAUGUAAUUGACUUGUCCCCUCCCCAGAAUUGCUGGCCUUGUACCAAAAUUUGAAACCAGUAUGUGAGUGGUUUUAGUCACUAUGUAAUUUAGUAACAGUGUUGAGAUAUGUUAUACAGUAGCUAUAUAUGUGAAAAGGUAUGUGAAACUAUAGGAAGUAUAUUGAGAUACUGUGACAGCGCAUGUGAUAUAGUGACAGUCGCACUGUUGUAAUCAGCAUGAAUGCUUUACCAUGGAUACAAAAUUUGUUUGCGACUACAUGAGAUAUGGAUUUCUAAUGUAUGUAAUUAUAUUUAUGACUGAAACACUGAUUACCUGGCACUUCUAUGCCUUUUUAUGGGACACUGCAUGAGCAACAGAUCUGUAAUGUAAAGUACUAUCAAUAUUGUUACUCAUAGAGGCUUAAGUAAUCUCUUUUGUAAUACUUAUUUUGUAGAUGUUUACCUUUUUGUAACACUUUUGCAGCAAUUUUCGUAACAAUGGAGAGCAGUAAUGUUAUAGAAUGUACAUGUUUAAAAUUCAACAGUGUAAUGGUUCAAAGUUAUGCAUUAGACGCCAGAAUUUACAGAAUAUAAUGAAAUAUGUACAUAAUUUAUAUUCACUUUUUUAUCGCGUGUAAAAUUGUCAUGUCAUCUUAGAGGAUUUGAAACUUGCAACUCUGCUGUUGCAAUUACAUUAAUGGCAAAGAAAUACAUUUUCUUGAAAGUUUCGCUUUAAUUGCUCUUUUAUUAGUUUUUAAAAGUAGUUGGAAGAUCCCAUAUAAAUUUAGUUUGAAGAAUUAAAUCCAAUUCCUUAAUUGUAAGCAUAGAACCGCUUGGUUUUAAAGUUUUAAGGAUUUUUUUUCUAAAACUUGACCAGUUUUAUUUGAGAUAAGAAAUAUGAGAUAUAUUUAUAUUUAUAGCUGCUCAAAUUUACAGAUUAUUUAAUUAUUUAAUCAGAAAAAAAUAGGAAAUGUCCAUGGUUUUUGUGCGUCCACUAAAAUGGUCACUGUCGUUGAUAUUAAGCUUGGUCUGUUAGGAAAACGUGCGUUGGCGUGGAAUGUGAGUUCUGGGAUCGAAGGAUUAGGCAGAAGUAAAGAGUUUAGUUAAGAUUUUGUGGAGAGUUACAAUGCUGGGAUGAGAGGAGGUUGUUGUUUCACGGUUUGGGUGGAGAUGAUAUACGGUAGUUUAGGAACAGUAGAAGAGAUAGAGAGACGACACAAUGGUGUUAAUGUGUGUUAAGGAGUGGAAAUUUGCCGAUAAUUUGAUUAAAUUUUUAAGGGGUGUGCAUUGUAGAGUAUUUGUUUGUAUAAAGAAAAGUAUUAACUAAUGUGAGAUACUUGAACUUUAUAUAACAUCUGUUGUUCGAACUAGUUUCUGGUCCAUGACAAUAUCAAACUCACACAGUCGCAUAUAGCCGGGAACAGUGAAUAACGUGUUAGUUCGCAUUUCAUUGCCAAACUUGACGUCCUCUGGUUGUACAUUUUCAGGCAUUAGAUUGAAAUUUUAAUGAAGACUCUAAUUAUCAGCAUUUUCAUUUAUUCUAAUAAUCAAGCUAAUUCUAAGAUUUCAAAGUAAUUGUUCCCUACUUCUGAUUCAUAUAUUUCUUGUGUGCGUUUAUGCCUUGGGACCCUUUGGAAAACCUCUUGAAUUAGAAAUGCACAGACAGCAAAUAUAAUUGAUUUAAUGUUUGUGUUAUACAAAGUACAAAGGAUAGAAAAGUGUGCAUGAAAGUAUUUUUCGAAUAUUAGCCGACAUAGAUGCUUAGUGCGGGAAAUAGGACUAGGGUGCAAGUAGUGAGUGAAAAUCUGGCACAACGGUCAAAUAGGUUGAGCAGAAUAUAAGUGAAACCAGUAAGUUUUGAAUAUAAAAGUUCAUUGUAGUAACGACUCUCGUGCUUAAGAGAGUACGUAUGUGGUAUGGCAAUGGAAUAACGAACGCAAGUUUUUCAGUUUCAGUAGAUUUCUUCUGAAUAUGAUUCAGAAAUCCAGCUUUCAUUGAUUGUAAGUCAUAACAGAUAUCAUCACAGUUCUCAUUAAAGAGGUAUAUUUGAGGGAACAGUUUGAGAAAGUCAAGCCUCCUUCAUGCAGUUUCAGCAAUAAACGAAAUAAUAUUAGGAAGAAAAAAUGCUUGGGAUUAUCAGUUAUAACCUACGCAAUGAGGGAUUAUUUUAAGUUGUGAAUUGUUCGAGAAGACGGUCAUACAAUUGAAACCUACUUUCCCGUUGUGAGUAACGUUUGCAGUUUCGUUAUGAUAUUGCCUGGAUCUCAUAAAUAUAUGAUUUACAAUAGUGAUUCGGACUUUUCGUUCACAUAGUUUAGCUAUUUAAACUAUAUAGAAAUAUAGGUAUUUUGAACCCCAAAUAUCAAGAAGCUUUUCUUACGAUUUUUUUUAUAAUGUAGCGGGAGUAGGUUAUAGUUGAGCGACUUAUAUCUUGAUAAAAUCUAAAGGAG